GACGAACGCUGGCGGCGUGCCUAAUACAUGCAAGUCGAGCGCUGACGGUUUGUGCUUUUGCCAACUGGGUGAGCAGCGGACGGGUGAGUAACGCGUGGGGCAUCUUCCUUUUAGCGGGGGACAACAUCUGGAAACGAAUGCUAAUACCGCCUCAAACCUUUAAACACAGGUUUUAAGUUUGAUAGAUACCUUUGCAUCACUCAAAGAUGGAUCCGCGUUGUGUUAGCUAGUUGGGUGGGUAAACGCCCACCCAGGCGAAGAUACAUUGCCUACCCGGGUGGGUGGACCGCCAACACGGGAAUGAGAAAAGGCUCAAAAUCCUACCGGGGGGAGCAGUAGGGAAACAUUGGCAAUGGACGGAAGUCUGACCGAGCAACGCCGGGGUGGUGAAGAAGGGUUUCGGAUCGGAAAACUCUGUUUGUAGAGAAGAAAGAUGGUGAGGGUGGAAAGCUCAUGAAGUGACGGUAACUAAACAGAAAGGGACGGCUAACUACGUG
rnacentral:rRNA from 1 species